CUCUGAGUCAAGCUCAUUGAACCUUGGGCGCAUGAAGGCGCUUCAUACGGCGUUUAUUGUAAAAAAGACAUUUUUAUGAAGGCUACUAAGGGCUGAAAGGUGUAGGUGAAAAACUUCAUCUCACAACCGACUAGCCAAGAUCCCGGAUGAAAACAUAAAACCGAUUGAAUCAAAGGCAUCUAAGAUGUUCAACCUAUGUGAGCUUACUUAUGG
rnacentral:sRNA from 1 species